CACGUAGGGACCAAGCGUUGUCCGGAUUCAUUGGGCGUAAAGAGCUCGUAGGCGGUUCGAUAAGUCGGGUGUGAAACCUCCAGGCUCAACCUGGAGACGCCACCCGAUACUGUCGUGACUAGAGUCCAGUAGGGGAGCGUGGAAUUCCUGGUGUAGCGGUGAAAUGCGCAGAUAUCAGGAGGAACACCAGCGACGAAGGCGGCGCUCUGGGCUGGAACUGACGCUGAGGAGCGAAAGCGUGGGGAGCGAACAGG
rnacentral:rRNA from 1 species